AGGGAAAUAGUUCAAGGGCAGAAUAGCGGUCUCCAAAACCGUUGAUGGGAGUUCGAAUCUCUCUUUCCCUG
rnacentral:tRNA from 1 species